AGGAAUAUUGGUCAAUGGCCGCAGGGCUGAACCAGCCAAGUCGCGUGAGGGAUGACGGUCCUAUGGAUUGUAAACCUCUUUUGUCAGGGAGCAAAGGACGCCACGUGUGGUGUUUUGCGAGUACCUGAAGAAAAAGCAUCGGCUAACUCCGUGCCAGCAGCCGCGGUAAUACGGAGGAUGCGAGCGUUAUCCGGAUUUAUUGGGUUUAAAGGGUGCGCAGGCGGAAUGUCAGGUCAGCGGUAAAAUUUCGGGGCUCAACCCCGUCGUGCCGUUGAAACUGGCGUUCUUGAGUGAGCGAGAAGUAUGCGGAAUGCGUGGUGUAGCGGUGAAAUGCAUAGAUAUCACGCAGAACUCCGAUUGCGAAGGCAGCAUACCGGCGCUCAACUGACGCUCAUGCACGAAAGCGUGGGUAUCGAACA
rnacentral:rRNA from 1 species